GUUUCCAUUAGCUUUGGCUGGGAGUCGAGGCCGGCAGAGAGGUGAGCAGCCAAAUGCUGGGUCUUGGCAGAGAGGCCAAACCAGAGCUUGAGCUCGGGUACAUACUCAACCCUGCCAUGGAAGGGUAAUUAAGGUCCAGUGACCGAGAUGCGUCCAUGUGUGGUUCACCAUGUGCAAGCAGUAGGUGCCAGCACCCUCUACAGAUAUGCAAAUCUGGUUGCCACCGUCGACCUCAAGAAGAGCAUAUGAGCUGAUCACGGUGCGGAUGUCACGGUACUUGGGAUCAAGGACAAACGGCGGUGGAGGGAGAGGUUGGCACAAGGAGGUGGAGGUGGGCUAGCUUGUGGUAGAUGAAUGCCUCGAACUGAUGGAUGCUGCUGCUGCAUCUUGUCUCCGGUCUCGGAAGAGACUCCAUGAUGAAGAAAGAAUGUUCCACCACUAUCAUCAGCGCUGGCGCUAGGGACGAAGAGGGAGAGGGGCCACUUCUUGGGCUUGUGGAGGUCAGGCGUGGUCAACACGUGGCGUGUGUCCGCGUCAAAGAGGAAGGUGCGCCCGAACAGCACCUCACGACCACCAAGCGGGAAGCAGUGCAUGGCCCAAAUUAAGGUCGGCCAUGGUUGCAGCUCGGAAGUUGAAGAGCGGGCUGGGAAGCCGAAUCCUUUCCACCCUCUGAUUGCAGUACGUGUUGAAGAAAUGCUGGCGCGUCAGGUCGAUGCAGCGCACGGCCAGUUGCGCGUCCUUGCGGCAGGAUGUACGAAAGCCAGGCAAUGCACGCGGCCAGCCAGGGAAAAUAAAUGGCCCAAAGAAUUUUUUCUCUCAUGUCUCUCCUAUCUAUCUCUUCUCUCCUCUCCUCUAUCAUAUCAUUAUUGUGGGGGCGAUCUGGUUCACCAAAUGGGACAGGAAUCAGCAAUGGUUGCUAUUUUUGUGGGUGUUCUCGUGAAAUCCUUACAAUAGUGAGUCUCUGAAAAAAAUUCUGAGUGAAUUCCACUUUUUACCCCCAGUUUGAUAUUUUCGACACAAAUUACCCCAUUUAACAAGAAUUCUUUUAUUUUACCCCAUUUAGUCAGACGUAUGCCAUUUUUUACCCAUCUAUUUUUUUCACCGUUCUAACCUGGAUGUAGCCCUGAACGUUGGUUUGCUUGGUUGGGUUAAGGUGGGCUUGAUGGGUUUUGCAGCCUCAUUUGAUGGUUGGGGAAAUUAUGAUUUGGGUGGGUUUAGAUGGGUUAGCAGGGAGAUGAUUAGGUGGUUGGGUUGGAUUGUAUUGGAUGGGUUGGUGGGUUGAGAAAAGGUAAACGAGUAAACGACCGCGCCUUGUGUUCGCUGCUUGCUGAGGUGGGUAAAAAUUGGCAAAACUUUUAUUAAAUGGGGUAAAAUAAAAGAAUUUCUGCUAAAUGGGGUAAUUUGUGUCAAAAAGAUCAAAUCAGUGGUAAAAAUGAAAUUCACUCAAAAAAUAAUUUUGGAAUUCAUCCUUUUAAUUUCUGUUCCAGCAAAUGGUCUGUUACAUGACAACUGAAUUUGCAACAGAUGAUGAGACUCUGAGCGGAGGCUCAGCGUGCAGGUGGUUCCUGAAUGGGGAUUUACCAGAGAUCAACAACUGCUUUGAAAGCUGCAAAAGUUUCCGUGGAUAAGCACUGGCGCCGAGAAAUUGUGUCACAGAUCAAUUCAUUGAAGCGGUCACGGGAGAAUCCAGGAGGAAGAAAUAGCAGCAGCUGAUGUGGAGAUCACCCACUGAUGAUCCAAAAGAUCCUGUUGGAAUAUUAAGCAAUUUCGAGAAUAACGAAUUAAUGAGUUAUUUCAGAAUAUAGAUCAUGGCCACAGUAGCAACUAGCAUAACAUGUGUCGGGUUCGAAACCAUUCUCUCAAUGCACAUGGGAAGAGAGAGAUGAAAAUGGUGUUGAGCCACGUCCUUUGGAACUUUGGAAGGCUACUCACUACAAGCAGGGAAAAUGGUCAGAUGAAGUGUCUGAAGCAGUUUAUAUUGAUGCAUUGAAGAGGUUGGAAAGGGAAGAAUCACAAGCAUUGGAGGGAGAAACAAAAAUUUCCAAAGUUACAAUUGCCGAGGAAGAACUUGCUUUGCAGGCUGCAAACAGGAAAACAUCAGGGCUCAAACAAAACAAGUUAGUUGGAGGUGGAUACCUGUCGAAGAAUGCAACUAAAAGCCAACUGCUCAAGAAAAACUAGAACGACAAGAACGCAAGGUUGAUAGAUUAAAAGAACAGCUUGCGAUAGGCAAGCAGCGAAGGAAGAACUCAAAAACUCCCUUAGAGAAAAACCGAUGAAAGAGUUUCAUGCUAUGUUCAAAGAUGACAGGGUAUUGUCAGAUGUACAGAAGAUAGAUGAUCUUAGAGAUAUUAUUGGAAUGAACCCAAAAGAGAUAAAAAAGAUGAUCUCAGGGAUCAUCGACUCUUAGAUCCAUGGUUGGCCUCUACCGGAGCGGAUGACAACCGUUGUUGUCAAGACUACCGAUAUUACUCUUUCCAACAUAGGAGUGCAAAUCUGUACCGAUGUUUUGAGAGGUGUUAACGCAGUACGAAAAUGCUUUGGUUUGUUGUGUUGAGUGUGAGAAAGCACCCGAAGUGCUUUGGUUAGUUGCGUUGAUUUUGCAAUUGUAUUUCUUGUGUAACGGCGCCGUGUAUUUGUAUAAUUAAUACUUCC